CGUCUUCCCACUCCCUCCCCCACAGGCUGCUGGCGUCCCUCUGUUCUUCGACUGGGCCUCAGGAGCUGCCUGUUCCUUCUUCCCAAAGGUCGUUUUCCCUGUUUCAGUUAUUGUCAUACUGUGUCACAAUUCGUGUGCCGGUUGUUAAACAUUCACCAGCACCUCGCUGCCUGCCGCCUCCCACUCUGCCUGCACAUCCUCCAAGACAGCAGGCUUCUCUGUGAAGCUGUCUUUGACUCCCACGGAAGAACAGGGAGAAGAAAACAACUCCUCUGUGCUAAGUCUCAGGGCUGCGUACUUUACGUACACAAUCCUCCUGCCACCAGCAAAGCAGUUGUACCGUGUGUUUGUUUGUGGUUGUCUGCCUGGUUGCAAACUCACAGCUGGAAAGAUCUCAGAUGCCUUAAAAUUUUCAACCUAUGAGAACAGAGAGCUAAAUGAUACAGUGGGGGCAGAUCUCGGAGAUAUUGUAGUGUCAGAACACUGCAAUGACGCAAAUACCGCAAUAAGUGCCAUUGGAAAAGCAGCAUCACCUAGUAAACCCUGACUAAUGUACAAUUAAACCGCCCCAAGUUAAACACAGCUCGCAUGACCGUCAUGGGUUCCCUCUGAAGAGCUGAGUCACCUGUACAAGAGCAAACUCCCCUCAAAGAAGAACAGAGACAUGGAGAAUGAGAGGAAGUCUUGCUGAUAGAGACCCAGCAGGAAAGGGAGCUUGGAGGUUAGCCAUAAUGCGAACUCCCACGAUGCUAAAAUAAUAAAAUAAUU